rnacentral:rRNA from 1 species
CCCGCACAAGCGGUGAGCAUGUGGUUUAAUUCGAAGCAACGCGCAGAACCUUACCAACCCUUGACAUGGCAGGACCGCUGGAGAGAUUCAGCUUUCUCGUAAGAGGACCUGCACACAGGUGCUGCAUGGCUGUCGUCAGCUCGUGUCGUGAGAUGUUCGGUUAAGUCCGGCAACGAGCGCAACCCACGUCCCUAGUUGCCAGCAUUCAGUUGGGCACUCUAUGGAAACUGCCGGUGAUAAGCCGGAGGAAGGUGUGGAUGACGUCAAGUCCUCAUGGCCCUUACGGGUUGGGCUACACACGUGCUACAAUGGUGGUGACAGUGGGUUAAUCCCCAAAAGCCAUCUCAGUUCGGAUUGUCCUCUGCAACUCGAGGGCAUGAAGUUGGAAUCGCUAGUAAUCGCGGAACAGCAUGCCGCGGUGAAUACGUUCCCGGGCCUU